rnacentral:rRNA from 1 species
UACGUAGGGGACAAGCGUUGUCCGGAUUUACUGGGCGUAAAGGGCACGCAGGCGGUUUUUUAAGUCAGAUGUGAAAGGUACCGGCUCAACCGGUGACAUGCAUUUGAAACUGAAAGACUUGAGUAUUGGAGAGGCAAGUGGAAUUCCUAGUGUAGCGGUGAAAUGCGUAGAUAUUAGGAGGAACACCGGUGGCGAAGGCGGCUUGCUGGACAAAUACUGACGCUGAGGUG